UUGAGUGGUGAUGAUCUCUACAGACCUGUAAUGAUUUGCGAGGAUGAUUGCAACUCUUUAUGAACAUCUAAGGGACUGAGUUCCU